rnacentral:tRNA from 1 species
AGUUGUUUGGUUUAGUGGUAUGAUUCUUGCUUUAGGUGCAAGAGGUUGUGUGUUCAAUUCUUGUAACACCUU